GCGAGUGAAGCGGCAAAAGCUCAAAUUUGAAAUCUGGCCUUCUGGUCCGAAUUGUAAUUUGAAGAAGCGACUCUGGUACCGGCCCUUGUCUAUGUUCCUUGGAACAGGACGUCACAGAGGGUGAGAAUCCCGUGCGAUGGGGUGUCCGGUGCUAUGUAGAGCGUUUUCGACGAGUCGAGUUGUUUGGGAAUGCAGCUCUAAGUGGGUGGUAAAUUCCAUCUAAAGCUAAAUAUUGGCGAGAGACCGAUAGCGAACAAGUACUGUGAAGGAAAGAUGAAAAGAACUUUGAAAAGAGAGUGAAAAAGUACGUGAAAUUGUUGAAAGGGAAGGGCUUGGGAUCAGACAUUGUAUUUCCAUGGCGCUCUCUCGGGGGUGUCCUCUGGGUUUACAGGGCCAGCAUGGGUUCUGCGGGCAAGAUGAGGGUUUGGGGAAUGUGGCUCUGCUUCGGCGGAGUGUUAUAGCCCUGGACACCGGUUGCCACGCGGGACCGAGGAUUGCGAAUCUAGGAUGCUGGCAUAAUGAUCUUAAGCCGCCC
rnacentral:rRNA from 1 species